GACACAGUCCACCCUGGUGAGGGAGGCACAGCCCUGAGAGCUCUUCUGUAACAAUGGGUGCACAUGGCGGUAGCUCUCACAUGCUAGCAGAUGAAGAAGCAAAGUGCUGGAGCUGGAACCAGAAGCAGGUAGGGCUUUCAAGGCCCACCCCAGAAACUCACUUCUGCCAGGCCAUAGUCCUAAGGGCUUCUGCACCCUUCUGAUGCAGAGCCACCAGCAAAUCAGGAUAGCAAUCUGGACACCACGGAGGACACAGAGCUCCACCUCUGAAAACCUUGACCAUCGUGGUUGUGAAGACUCCUAAUUUCCUCAAGGAAAGGGGAUUUAAGAGUAAACAUUCCGACUGGGUGUGAGGUUUAGUGGAUUUCCCUUGAAGCCGAGUUCACGGAGCUAGCUGUGUGAUAUAGGGGUGGUUCAGCAUUGGCAAAUCAGUAAAGAUCAUGCAUCACAUGAGUGGCUGGAGAAAAGAUGAAAGAAAUCACACCACCAUCUUAAUAGAUGCAAGAAAGGCCUUUGACCAACUACAGCAUCUCAGCGUCAUGAUAAAAGUACUGAAGAGACUCAGAAUGUUGGGGAAAUAUCUCAACAUAGAAAGACCAUAUACAACAAACCUGAAGACAUUCUGACCAUAUAGUUUGUGUAACCACCAGCAAUCAGUAAUAGUGCCAUUGAAACUAUGUACCAGAAUUUUUCUUCUUGGUUGGCCUCAUGUACCUCAGUCCUUGCAUAGAGUUGUUUAUAGGAUAAAUUAACAAUAAUGUCACUCCCCUCCAUAUACAAAAAAAAAAUGCUUCCUAUGGUACACAGCUGUAACCUUCA
rnacentral:lncRNA from 1 species